rnacentral:rRNA from 2 species
GCCCAGUCAUAAACCUUGAUGAUAAACUACAAAUAUCAUCCGCCAGGGAACUACAAGCGUAUCGCUCGAAACCCAACGGACUUGGCGGUGCCCCACACCCACCUAGAGGAGCCUGUUCUAUAACUGACAAUCCCCGUUCAACCUCACCACCCCUAGCCCCUUCAGUCUAUAUACCACCGUCGUAAGCUCACCCUGUGAAGGAUCAACAGUAAGCAAGAUGGGCACAACCCAAAACGUCAGGUCGAGGUGUAGCACAUGGGAUGGGAAGAAAUGGGCUACAUUUUCUGCCUGCAGAACAUCACGAACAACGCCAUGAAACCUGCCGUUCAAAGGAGGAUUUAGCAGUAAAAAGAAAACAGAGAGUUCUUUUGAAGCCGGCCCUGGGGCGCGC